UACGUAGGGGGCAAGCGUUAUCCGGAUUUACUGGGUGUAAAGGGAGCGUAGACGGCAUAGCAAGUCUGAAGUGAAAGCCCGUGGCUCAACCGCGGAACUGCUUUGGAAACUGUUAAGCUGAAGUACUGGAGAGGCAAGCGGAAUUCCUAGUGUAGCGGUGAAAUGCGUAGAUAUUAGGAGGAACACCAGUGGCGAAGGCGGCUUGCUGGACAGAGACUGACGUUGAGGCUCGAAAGCGUGGGGAGCAAACAGG
rnacentral:rRNA from 1 species